UACAUGUGGGGCAAGCGUUAUUCGGAAUUAUUGGGCGUAAAGGGCGCGUAGGCGGCUUGGCAAGUGGAUGGUGAAAUCCCUCGGCUUAACCGAGGAACUGCCGUCCAAACUGCUUCGCUUGAGACCGGGAGAGGUGAGUGGAAUUCCCAGUGUAGCGGUGAAAUGCGUAGAUAUUGGGAGGAACACCAGUGGCGAAGGCGGCUCACUGGACCGGUACUGACGCUGAUGCGCGAAAGCGUGGGGAGCAAACGGG
rnacentral:rRNA from 1 species